rnacentral:rRNA from 1 species
GUGGAUUGUACUAGAAGUCUGCAKGCUAACCGCAAGGAGGCAGCGGCCCAAGGUAUGAUUCAUGAYUGGGGUGAAGUCGUAACAAGGUAGCCGUAGGUGAACCUGCAGAAGGAUCA